rnacentral:lncRNA from 1 species
UUCUCCUUCAAAAAUUCUGCCACUCUUACGGAUCUCUUGCUCUCCACCUGUUUGUUGUGGUAUGCGUGCAGGACUCGGUUCAAUUAUGGGCUACGGAAGAACAUAGCCUAAGAUUCCACUUUAUCCGGACUUCAGGUAAAAAUCGAAUCUUUUGUCAGUACUGACAUCUUCUUCCAUCUACAUCACAACGACUACUCAUUCGGGGGGGCCUUCACCUGUACAAAAGGACAAAAAAAAUAAAAAGCAAAAGGACUGCGCUUGCUAACGAAAGGAGAGGAAUCAGCUCAUACCCAUUCAUUGAGAUAUUCCCAUUAUCAUUCUGGAGUUGGAAGAAGCCCUGCUUGAGCUUCCAAUCCCUUCUCUUCAUCUCUUCUCGUCCUCUCAUCAUAUCCAAAGUUGCUCCUGGCCACCCUCAAUUGUGGAUCACAAAUUUUGCUGUACUACCAAGGAAGAUGGAUUUCAAACAAGAAGUUGCUCCUGGCCAUCUUCAAUUGUGGAUCACAAAUUUUGCUGUACUACCAAGGAAGAUGGAUUUCAAACAAGAUUGAGGAAGACAGAUAAGUACAAAUUACCAAAGGUCUUGAAUUUUAGAUAAGCCUAAAAUGCCAAUUUUUAUGGUUCGAUUACGUAUGGGCUUGCGUGGCAUUAGACUAAUGAUUAAUCCAACAGCUGAAAGAAAAAUAUCUGGUGCACGGAGAGAGAUGAUAUGUGGAGUAGCAAAUAUUGCUGCUCCCAUGUCCAUCAUUGAUAUAAUCAGUGGUGGAACAAAGAUCAGAUAUUCUGUAAGACCUACCCAUCAGGCUUCACUAGUUCUCCUAAUGUAUCAGAGUGAGGAACACUGAAGCUAACUAACCUGUAAAUUGAAUAAGAAUGGUGGAAUGGAAUUCAUACGAUUUAGGGAUUGGAUACAUCUAAAGCAGAAUGCUUAUAGAAGUAGUGAAUACAUGAAUUUUUACAUAUCUGCCUGAUUUAUGUUCAAUGCUGGCUGAAAUCAAGUCAAUAGACAAAAGAUAGCCACCUGUAACUCUAGUGCUUUAAUCAAAAUUACGAAGUAUAAAUGACUCGAUCAAGUAACUAAGUAGUUUCACAACAGAGAGUAAAUUUAAAAUGGUCAUGUGUAGGUUACCAAAAUGAAUAUUUUUCUUAUGUUCUACAAGGAAAUGCAACAUAAUCACAAUAAAAUUAUCAUAGUAUUUUGACAGUAGUAGUAGAACAAUCAAGAAAAUAUGUCUGCUGAUAUGCCUCUAUAGUCCAUUUUAUGAAAGAAUUUUGUGAACCAUCAAAUAUGGAGAAAAUAGUGUGCAGAGAGAUGUGUUUCAGGUGUCAUAACUGAAAGGCAAAUAGAUAAGAGAUAUUUACUGUGAUGGUGUGAUUUAGUGUAGAAACAUUAAAGUGGUGCUCCCAUAAUCAGGAGAAAGCAAGAGGCACACAUGUAAAAUGCUCUUCCAAUUCUUAC